GAUGAACGCUGGCGGCGUGCCUAAUACAUGCAAGUAGAACGCUGAAGGAGGAGCUUGCUCUUCUGGAUGAGUUGCGCACGGGUGAGUAACGCGUAGGUAACCUGCCUGUUAGCGGGGGAUAACUCUUGGAAACGAUAGCUAAUACCGCAUGACAACAGUUAUUGCACGAUAACUGUUUAAAAGGGGCAACUGCUCCACUACCAGAUGGACCUGCGUUGUAUUAGCUAGUUGGUGAGGUAACGGCUCACCAAGGCGACGAUACAUAGCCGACCUGAGAGGGUGAUCGGCCACACUGGGACUGAGACACGGCCCAGACUCCUACGGGAGGCAGCAGUAGGGAAUCUUCGGCAAUGGACGGAAGUCUGACCGAGCAACGCCGCGUGAGUGAAGAAGGUUUUCGGAUCGGAAAGCUCUGUUGUAAGGGAAGAACGAGUGUGAGAGUGGAAAGUUCACACUGUGACGGUAUCUUACCAGAAAGGGACGGCUAACUACGUG
rnacentral:rRNA from 1 species